rnacentral:rRNA from 1 species
UACGGAGGGGGCUAGCGUUGUUCGGAAUUACUGGGCGUAAAGCGCACGUAGGCGGCUUUCUAAGUCGGGGGUGAAAUCCUGGAGCUCAACUCCAGAACUGCCUUCGAUACUGGGAGUCUCGAGUCCGGGAGAGGUGAGUGGAACUGCGAGUGUAGAGGUGAAAUUCGUAGAUAUUCGCAAGAACACCAGUGGCGAAGGCGGCUCACUGGCCCGGUACUGACGCUGAGGUGCGAAAGCGUGGGGAGCAAACAGG